CGGCAUGCCUUACACAUGCAAGUCGAACGGCAGCACGGGAGCAAUCCUGGUGGGCGAGUGGCGAACGGGUGAGUAAUAUAUCGGAACGUGCCCAGUCGUGGGGGGAUAACGUAGCGAAAGCUACGCUAAUACCGCAUACGAUCUAUGGAUGAAAGCGGGGGAUCGCAAGACCUCGCGCGAUUGGAGCGGCCGAUAUCAGAUUAGGUAGUUGGUGAGGUAAAGGCUCACCAAGCCGACGAUCUGUAGCUGGUCUGAGAGGACGACCAGCCACACUGGGACUGAGACACGGCCCAGACUCCUACGGGAGGCAGCAGUGGGGAAUUUUGGACAAUGGGCGCAAGCCUGAUCCAGCAAUGCCGCGUGCAGGAUGAAGGCCUUCGGGUUGUAAACUGCUUUUGUACGGAACGAAACGGUGAGCUCUAAUACAGUUUGCUAAUGACGGUACCGUAAGAAUAAGCACCGGCUAACUACGUG
rnacentral:rRNA from 1 species